rnacentral:tRNA from 1 species
GGGGCUGUAGCUCAGUAACAAAGUAUCUGCUUAGCAUGCAGGAAGUCCCGGGUUCAAAUCCGCAGCACCU